CAGUCGCCGCGGUAAUACAGAGGGUGCAAGCGUUAAUCGGAAUUACUGGGCGUAAAGCGCGCGUAGGUGGUUUGUUAAGUUGGAUGUGAAAUCCCCGGGCUCAACCUGGGAACUGCAUCCAAAACUGGCAAGCUAGAGUAUGGUAGAGGGUGGUGGAAUUUCCUGUGUAGCGGUGAAAUGCGUAGAUAUAGGAAGGAACACCAGUGGCGAAGGCGACCACCUGGACUGAUACUGACACUGAGGUGCGAAAGCGUGGGGAGCAAACAGGAUUAGAUACCCGAGUAGUCCCUGUCUCUUAUCC
rnacentral:rRNA from 1 species